rnacentral:rRNA from 1 species
CCUACGGGUGGCAGCAGUGAGGAAUAUUGGUCAAUGGCCGGAAGGCUGAACCAGCCAUGCCGCGUGAAGGUCAGUGCCCUAUGGGCGUUAAACUUCUUUUGUGCGGGAGCAAUAAUGGUCACGUGUGGCCAGACGAGAGUACCGUACGAAUAAGCCACGGCUAACUACGUGCCAGCAGCCGCGGUAAUACGUAGGUGGCAAGCGUUAUCCGGAUUUACUGGGUGUAAAGGGCGUGUAGGCGGGAGAGCAAGUCAGACGUGAAAUUCCAGGGCUCAACCCUGGAACUGCGUUUGAAACUGUUCUUCGUGAGUGAUGGAGAGGCAGGCGGAAUUCCGUGUGUAGCGGUGAAAUGCGUAGAUAUACGGAGGAACACCAGUGGCGAAGGCGGCCUGCUGGACAUUAACUGACGCUGAGGCGCGAAAGCGUGGGGAGCAAACAGGAUUAGAUACCCCAGUAGUC